rnacentral:rRNA from 1 species
GUCACGCCGAAGUCGUUACCUCAACCCUUGAGGGAGGGAGGCGCCGAAGGUGGGACUAGUGACUGGGGUGAAGUCGUAACAAGGUAGCCGUACCGGAAGGUGUGGCUGGAUCACCUCCUUU